rnacentral:rRNA from 3 species
AAAUUGAAGAGUUUGAUCAUGGCUCAGAUUGAACGCUGGCGGCAGGCCUAACACAUGCAAGUCGAACGGUAACAGGAAGCAGCUUGCUGCUUCGCUGACGAGUGGCGGACGGGUGAGUAAUGUCUGGGAAACUGCCUGAUGGAGGGGGAUAACUACUGGAAACGGUAGCUAAUACCG